GGGGGUGUGUGCACCAGCAACGUGUGAGGAGGGCUGGUGCCCUAUGGGAGGUUGCAGGCAGGAAGCAGCUGGAGAGGAGGAGGAGCAGCAGCAGGAGCAGGAGCUGCCCUGCUUUCGUCUUAGUCUCAAAGCACGGAAUUGAUUUAGAAUUCCACAUCCAGCUGAAGUUUGGCUGCUGUUGCCUUCCGCAGGCAGGUUGUCAGAAUACCCUCUCGACAGAGAGGUGUGGACCAGAUUGGAUUCCUAGAUUUGCAGCCGGCAAGACACCCACCCACCUUUACUGAGGGGAUUUCUCUGCCGGGCAUUGUUCCUAUCGUCAACUUUGUGCUUUGGAGCCAGCGGCUGGGUGCAGCUGAGAAUAAUAGCCCCUUGGCUUUGUUGGUUGGGCAAGCGGCAGCACUGUGGCUCAGAAAGUUCAUCCUGUGGCUUCUCUGUCAAACCAAGGAGUGCUUCUGAUGGAUUUCCUCUUACAGACAGUGCUUGCGUUCCAAAACUUGAAUUCAUGGUUUUAAUUGUUGUGUUUUGUUUUUUCUUUUCAAUUCCUUAACCCUUAUUUUGGUUGCAGCAAUAAGAACACAAAAGACUUGAUUUAUUCACCCACAUUCUAAAGGAAAGCCAAAGAAAGAGAACCGAUUGCCUACAGCCUUCAAGGCCAAGGUUGGGAGGCAGGUCAGGGUUGAUUCUUACAGUCUUAGAAGUUACAGGAAGAGUCAACCCAGGAUCAAGGGGCAUGUGCCAGGUUUGGAGGCCACACAUACGGCCAUUCCAGGCAGCA